rnacentral:lncRNA from 1 species
AAAUAUUGAUGAUGUGGUGCACACUAAAAGCAUUGAGGUGAAUUAUUUUAUUAGGAGAAAAUAGGAUUUAAAUUAUGAUGUAGAAUUUAGUAAAGUAAAAGAAAAAAAAAAGGGAGAUUCUAGAAAUUUCAAGGUUGUCCAACAACAUUGAACACCGUUGCAAGGAGAAUCAUCACCAAACCAUAAAUCACGAAGCUAGAGAACCUUAAACCAUGCCAGCCUUCGAAAUCGCGAAAUCUACCACCAUCAACGCCGUUCAAGCUCCUUGUCGUGCCCUCGCUAUCUUCAUCUUCGGCCAACCUUACACCACCAUGAAGACCAUCGUGGAGCCUCCUUGUCUGUUCAUCUUCCAUCUCCAGUAGAUUGAACUCAUCUUCAUUCGUCCAUCAAUCGCGACAAAGCCUAGAACGCCAAUCUUGCGGGCUACAUGAGCGAACAACGCGAAAUCCCAGCACAUCGUGGGCUGCUCCCUCGUCCUCCACCAUUUUCGCUCCCUAAUCGGACCUGCAACAAAAUCCAGGAACCAGAAACUGCAAUCUCCAUCAUGCCUGAAAACCCUAACUCGCGUAAUCUUCCAUGGAAACUCAAGCCAAUCCAGAGAAUGUGAAUCACGAGUCUUCAUCCUCGCGCAAACAUGGUGAAUCCAUCAACCUGCAAACAAAUCAUCAAACCAAUUGCAACCAUGGAAAAAAAAAAAACCAAUUGAAAUGCGAAAUUAUGUCUUCCUUAAUCGUCUCCCGAAAGAGGGAUAUUCUGCAAAAUUCAAAGGUUGCCCAUCAACAUUGAACAGAUCUAAAAAACUUGAUAAAGAGGUUUCGUAUGAGAUAUGGAAUUACCAAAGUUGUUCAUCUCGUCUUCGAAUUCCAAAUCCAUAAUUCCCUUUCGAAAUCUCUCUUUUUGUAAACCCUAUUUAGUUCACAAAUCCUUAAUCUCAUAUGCACAAAAUCCCUGAUUUAUCACUUUAACUACAUUGAC